UUAAAAAUGAAAUGUAAGUCGCUUUGGAUAAAAGCGUCAGCAAAAUGACAUGUA
rfam:Gasterosteus aculeatus cont1.007294, whole genome shotgun sequence.